GAUGAACGCUGGCGGCGUGCCUAAUACAUGCAAGUCGAACGAAAAGACGAGGAGCUUGCUCCUCUGACGGUAGCGGCGGGCGGGUGAGUAACGCGUGGAAAACCUACCUAUAAGACUGGGAUAAGUUCGGAAAACGGGAGCUAAUACCGGAUAAUAUAUUGAACCGCAGGGUUCAAUAGUGAAUGACGGUUUUGCUGUCACUUAUAGAUGGAUCCGCGCCGCAUUAGCUAGUUGGUAAGGUAACGGCUUACCAAGGCAACGAUGGGUAGCCGACCUGAGAGGGGGAUCGGCGACCUUGGAACUGGGACACGGACCAGACUCCUACGGGAGGGAGCAGCAGGGAAUGUGACGCAAUGGGCGAAAGCCUGACGGAGCAGCGCCGCGUGAGUGAUGAAGGUCUUCGGAUCGGAAAACUCUGUUAUUAGGGAAGAACAAAUGUGUAAGUAACUAUGCACGUCUUGACGGUACCUGAUCAGAAAGCCCCGGCUAACUACGUG
rnacentral:rRNA from 1 species